GCUACGGGUGGCAGCAGUGGGGAAUAUUGGGCAAUGGGCGCAAGCCUGACCCAGCAAAGCCGCGUGAAGGAAGAAGGCCCUCGGGUUGUAAACUUCUUUUGUCAGGGACGAAGCAAGUGACGGUACCUGACGAAUAAGCCUCGGCUAACUACGUGCCAGCAGCAGCUGUCAUACGUAGGUGGCAAGCGUUAUCCGGAUUUACUGGGUGUAAAGGGCGUGUAGGCGGGGAAGCAAGUCAGAUGUGAAAUUACAGGGCUCAACCCUGGAACUGCAUUUGAAACUGUUUUUCUUGAGUGAUGGAGAGGCAGGCGGAAUUCCGGGUGUAGCGGUGAAAUGCGUAGAUAUACGGAGGAACACCAGUGGCGAAGGCGGCCUGCUGGACAUUAACUGACGCUGAGGCGCGAAAGCGUGGGGAGCAAACAGGAGUAGAUACCCCUGUAGUC
rnacentral:rRNA from 1 species